rnacentral:rRNA from 1 species
UCAAGAAACUUCCACAAUGGGCGAAAGCCUGAUGGAGCGACGUCGCGUGAUGGACGAAGUGCUUCGGCACGUAAACAUCUUUUAUGUGGGAUGAAAUUAUUGACAGUACCACAUGAAUAAGGGGCUCCUAACUCUGUGCCAGCAGGAGCGGUAAUACAGAGGCCCCAAGCGUUAUCCGGAAUCACUGGGCGUAAAGGGUGUCGAGGCGGUUGUAUUAGUCGUUCGUAAAAUCUACGAGCUUAACUUGUAGGCGGCGAACGAAACGGUACGACUUGAGGUUUGGAGAGGUGCGUGGAACUCACGGUGUAGGGGUGAAAUCCGUUGAUAUCGUGGGGAACACCAAAGGCGAAGGCAGCGCACUGGCCAAAAUCUGACGCUCACACACGAAAGCUAGGGUAGCGAAGAGGAUUAGAUACCCAUGUAGUCCCUGAGCGGGCUGGCAAGGCG